AGAGUUUGAUCCUGGCUCAGGAUGAACGCUGGCGGCGUGCCUAACACAUGCAAGUCGAGCGGAGAUACAUGUCUAGGAGAUUUCGGUCGAAUUAAUUGUAUCUUAGCGGCGGAUGGGUGAGGAACGCGUGGAGAACCUGCCCUUCACAGGGGGAUAACAGCUGGAAACGGCUGUUAAUACCGCAUAUGCUCACAGGAUCGCAUGAUCCAGGGAGGAAAGCCGAGACGGUGAAGGAUGGCUCCGCGUCGGAUUAGCCAGUUGGCGGGGUAACGGCCCACCAAAGCGAUGAUCCGUAGCCGGCCUGAGAGGGCGACCGGCCACAUUGGGACUGAGACACGGCCCAAACUCCUACGGGAGGCAGCAGUGGGGGAUAUUGCACAAUGGGGGGAACCCUGAUGCAGCGACGCCGCGUGAAGGAGGAAGUGCUUCGGCAUGUAAACUUCUAUCAGCAGGGAAGAAGAUGACGGUACCUGACUAAGAAGCCCCGGCUAACUACGUGCCAGCAGCCGCGGUAAUACGUAGGGGGCAAGCGUUAUCCGGAUUUACUGGGUGUAAAGGGAGCGUAGACGGCAAUGCAAGUCUGAUGUGAAAACCCGGGGCUCAACCGCGGGAUUGCAUUGGAAACUGUAUAGCUCGAGUACUGGAGGGGCAGGCGGAAUUCCUGGUGUAGCGGUGAAAUGCGUAGAUAUCAGGAGGAACACCGGUGGCGAAGGCGGCCUGCUGGACAGAAACUGACGUUGAGGCUCGAAAGCGUGGGGAGCAAACAGGAUUAGAUACCCUGGUAGUCCACGCCCUUAAACGAUGAAUACUUAGGGUGUGGGGUGGGGCAAAAGCCCAUUCGGUGGCCGCAGCCAAACGCCAAUAAGUAUUCCCACUUGGGGAGUACGUUCGCAAGAAUGAAACUCAAAGGAAUUUGACGGGGACCCCGCACAAGCGGUGGAGCAUGUGGUUUAAUUCGAAAGCAACGCGAAGAACCUUACCAGAUCUUGACAUCCCGAUGACGUACUUGUAAUGGAGUAUUCCCUUCGGGGCAUUGGAGACAGGUGGUGCAUGGUUGUCGUCAGCUCGUGUCGUGAGAUGUUGGGUUAAGUCCCGCAACGAGCGCAACCCCUGUUCUCAGUAGCCAGCGGCCAGGCCGGGCACUCUGAGGAGACCGCCAGGGACAACCUGGAGGAAGACGGGGAUGACGUCAAAUCAUCAUGCCCCUUAUGAUCUGGGCUACACACGUGCUACAAUGGUGUCUGACAGAGAGAAGCAAACCUGCGAGGGGGAGCAAAUCUCAAAAACGGCAUCUCAGUUCGGACUGCAGGCUGCAACCCGCCUGCACGAAGCUGGAAUCGCUAGUAAUCGCGAAUCAGCAUGUCGCGGUGAAUACGUUCCCGGGUCUUGUACACACCGCCCGUCACACCAUGGGAGUCCGCAACACCCGAAGUCAGUGUCCCGACCCGCAAGGGAGGGAGCUGCCUAAGGUGGGGCGAAUGACUGGGGUGAAGUCGUAACAAGGUAUUCUUUAUAGGAAGGUGCGGCUGGAUCACCUCCUUUCU
rnacentral:rRNA from 1 species